CCUACGGGUGGCAGCAGUGGGGAAUAUUGGACAAUGGGCGAAAGCCUGAUCCAGCCAUGCCGCGUGUGUGAAGAAGGCCUUCGGGUUGUAAAGCACUUUCAGUGGGGACGAAAGCCUUGGGGCUAAUACCCUCGAGGAAGGACAUCACCCACAGAAGAAGCACCGGCUAACUCCGUGCCAGCAGCCGCGGUAAUACGGAGGGUGCGAGCGUUAAUCGGAAUUACUGGGCGUAAAGCGCGCGUAGGCGGUCUGAUAAGCCGGUUGUGAAAGCCCCGGGCUCAACCUGGGAACGGCAUCCGGAACUGUCAGGCUAGAGUGCAGGAGAGGAAGGUAGAAUUCCCGGUGUAGCGGUGAAAUGCGUAGAGAUCGGGAGGAAUACCAGUGGCGAAGGCGGCCUUCUGGACUGACACUGACGCUGAGGUGCGAAAGCGUGGGUAGCAAACAGGAUUAGAUACCCCAGUAGUC
rnacentral:rRNA from 1 species